AAAAAGCCCUGGAAUAUGUCAUCCUUCUAUAGAAUGGGUCAGCAAACAAAGGCCAAAGGGCUAAAUCUAACUGCUGUACAACCCUGGAGUUAAGAAUGACUUUUAUAUUUUUAAAUAAAGGAGGGGUAGGGUUUUUUUUUUUUUUUUUGCAUUUUAAAAUAUAAAUAACAUUCUUAUCAUACUGGCCAUACAAAAACAGAAUGUAAGAUUGGGUCCAAGGAAUGUGGUUUGCUGACUCCUAUUCUAAAGGAUCAUAAAAUUUUUGAACUAGAAAGUACCUCAGAUAUCAUCUUAUCUAACCCUUACAUUUUCCAGGAAAGAGGUAACAUGAUUUGUCCAUAGGAAAACUAACACUAGAACCUACUUUUCAUAACUUUUAAUUCAGCCCUAUUUCCAGGACACUAUAAAAAUGUUUUUAGCUUCUUAAGGAUAGUCAUGUGGACUUCUGGAGCUGGGACCACCUAGGGUCAGAUCCUUUAUUCAACACUCAACAUAACACAGAUUCCUGACCUGCAAAAUGAGCUGAAGAAGAAAAUGGCGGACCAUUCCAGGAUCUUUGCCAAGAAAACCCCAAACAGGGCCAUAGAAAAUCUACUCAAACCACCCAACAACAAUACUCACAUAAGGAAACAAAACACAAAAGUGGGGAAUCAUCAGUGAGGAAACAAACAAAAGUAAUGAAGUUAUCAGGCUAUGUCAAAGACCACUUGUUCCAAAAGAGGAACUAGAUGAGAAGUUUUAAAAAUAAAGCACAAGACAACAUUGAAAUAUGGUAUGGUAGUAAUGUGAGCCUUUAGUUAUAUAAAAAUAUAUAUAGAGAGAGAGAGUUAUAUAGAUAUCCACUAAAGCUCUCCAUCUGACAAAGGCAGUGAGCCAAUAACCUCUUGGCUUGCCAUAAUAAUAAUCUUAGAUGUAAGGAGUUAAAAGAACCAACAAAGAGAAAUUCUACUUUGGAUCUAAUUCUCACUAACAUACAAGAACUGAUUACUGGGGAAAGAAAGGAUGAGAGGUGACCACUACCUUGGAGUACGUGAUAAAGGAGAGCUGCAGUAGAAAAAUGGUGUUGGAAUAUAAGGGGGCAGCUAAGUCACACAUGUUGGGCCUGGAAUCAGAAGAUCUGAGUUCAAAUUUGGCCUCAAGGCACUAGUUGUUUGACCAGGGGAGUCACUUAACCAUAUUCCACAUUUGUAAAUGAGCUAAAGAGAAAAUGGCAAAUCACUUUAGUAUCUUUGCCAAAAAAAUACAAAAUGGGGAUCACAAAGAGUCAGACAUGAAUGAAAAAUGACUGAAUAACAACAAAGGAAAACAAGCAGGCAGUUUUCAAGGGAAGAGAAUGACAUCUAAAAGCCAGGGAAUUUGGCUUUGGUUGCUGGCAGAGUGCUAGAACACAUUAUUAAAGUGAUGGUUAGCAAAUGGCUAGAGAAGAGUCAGCAUGACUUCAGCAAGAACAAGUCAUGCCUGAUUCAAUUUAUUUCCCAUUUUGUCAGGUGGCAGUUCAUUUGCCUAAGUGGAGGACUCCAAAUUGCAGAUCCUUAAAGUAUUAUAUUGGUAAAUAGAGAAAACACAGAAGAUAGAGCUUUAACUGGAUUUUAACUAAGUAUUUGAUAAUAUAUUGCAUACAAUUCUUGUUUUUAAAAAAUGGAGAAAUGUGGGAUAGACGGUUGUAAUUUUAGAUGGAUUUAGAAUUGGUUGAAUAGCCAGAUUCAAAGAGACAUUAAUAGUUUCAGAUCACCUUGGAAGGAUACUUAAAAUGGAGUGUCCUGGGGAUCUGUACUUUGCCUUAUGAAGUUUAACAGUUUCAUUAAUGAUUAGGAUAAAGAUAUAAAUAUCAUAUCUAUCAAAAUCUUCACUGAAACAAAGUUAGAAAUUACAGCCGACACUUAAAAAUCCAAAAAGAUUCUAACAUGCUAGAAUAUUUGACUGAAUGAAGUUAGGUGAACUUAAAUAUGGAUAAAUGUAAAGUCUUAUACUUGGAUUCUAAACAUCUACUUUACAAAUACAUGUUCAUUGGGAAAAUGUCUGGAGACAAACUGCAAGUUCCUUAUGAAUAAGAAAAGUGAUUGAAUAGCCAACAAAGAAUAAGUCAUCUCCACUCCAUGAUUAAAGACAACUUCCAGGCAGAGUGGUAACUGUACUAUGCUCUGCUCUGGUACAUCUGAAAUAUUGUGUAUGGUUCUAGGUACCACAGUUUUUAGGAAGCAUAUUGGUAAGCUAGGGAAUGUCCAAAGGAAGCACUAAAAUGCUUUGGUUCUUGUGCCAAAAGAAGAAUUACUUGAAGGAAAUGGGGAUGAUUAGCCUAGAAAAAAAUUUGAAGAGAACAUGAUAGUGGUCUAUAAGUAUUUGAAGAGCUGCCUUGUUAAGCAAGGAUUUGAUUUGAUCCAGUUAGCUCCAAAAGGAAGAACCAAAGCAAUAGGUAGAAAUUGUGAAGACUUGAUAUCAAGAAAAACUUCUUAAUAAUUCAAAAUAUCAGUGGAUGCCCAUCAAUUGGAGAAUGGCUGAAUAAAUUGUGUUAUAUGAAUAUUAUGGAAUAUUAUUGUUCUGUAAGAAAUGACCAGCAGGAUGACUUCAGAAAGGCCUGGAGAGACUUACAUGAACUGAUGCUGGGUGAAAUGAGCAGGACCAGGAGAUCAUUAUAUACUCAACAACAAUACUAUAUGAUGAUCAAUUCUGAUGGAUGUGGUUCUCCUCAACAAUGAGAUGAACCAAAUCAGUUCCAUUCGUUCAAUAAUGAAUAGAACCAGCUACACCCAGCAAAAGAACUCUGGGAGAUGUUUAUGAACCACUACAUGGAAUUCCCAAUCCCUCUAUUUUUGUCCACCUGCAUUUUUUAUUUCCUUCACAGGUUAAUUGUACACUAUUUCAAAGUCUGAUUCUUUUUGUACAGCAAAAUAGCUGUAUGGACAUGUAUACAUAUGUUGUAUUUAACUUAUACUUCAACAUAUUUAACAUGUAUUGGUCAACUUUCCAUCUGGGGGAGGAGGUGGGGGGAAGAAGGGGAAAAAUUGGAACAAAAGGUUUUGCAACUGUCAAUGCUGAAAAAUUGCCCAUGCAUAUAUCUUGUAAAUAAAAAGCUAUUAAAAAACAAAGAAAGAAACACACUCAAAAAAAAAAUAAUUCAAGAUAUCAAAAGUGGAAUGAGCUAUGAUGGGAGAUUGAGAUUCCCCCAUUAAGAGGUCACUUAGCCAAAGUGGGAUGCCUAUUUGCCAAA